rnacentral:rRNA from 1 species
UACGGAGGGUGCAAGCGUUAUCCGGAUUCACUGGUUAAAGGGUGCGUAGGCGGAUAGGUAAGUCCGUGGUGAAAUCCUGCAGCUUAACUGCAGAACUGCCAUGGAUACUAUCUAUCUUGAAUGUCGUGGAGGUUAGCGGAAUAUGUCAUGUAGCGGUGAAAUGCUUAGAGAUGACAUAGAACACCCAUUGCGAAGGCAGCUAACUACGCGAUAAUUGACGCUGAUGCACGAAAGCGUGGGGAUCAAACAGGA